rnacentral:pre_miRNA from 1 species
UUCUGCUGUUCCAUGUUCGAUUCUUCAUUUGGGGAUCUAACAUCAGCGGGAACCUUAAGUCUUCUUCACAUAUCCAUUUGAUGGAUAGAUUGCCGAAGGAAGAAUCGUUAUGGAAUGAUGCAGAU